UACAGGGGGUGCAAACGUUGCUCGGAAUCAUUGGGCGUAAAGCGCACGUAGGUGGUUUGUUAAGUUGGAUGUGAAAUCCCCGGGCUCAACCUGGGAACUGCAUCCAAAACUGGCAAGCUAGAGUAUGGUAGAGGGUGGUGGAAUUUCCUGUGUAGCGGUGAAAUGCGUAGAUAUAGGAAGGAACACCAGUGGCGAAGGCGACCACCUGGACUGAUACUGACACUGAGGUGCGAAAGCGUGGGGAGCAAACAGG
rnacentral:rRNA from 1 species